CUGUACAGCCUCUGCGGCCUGUAUCCUCACUCCAUACCAGCGGAGCUCCGUCCAGUCUGACAGUCUCUGAUCUGCAGGGCGGCCAUCAGAGAGGAUCAGAAUGCACUGACAUAGUGAGGAGCCAUCUGGGCGUCAAGUUCUGCAGCAAGAACAUUUAGCUGGACCUGGUGUGACAUGAAUAUAUGUGACACAUGCAUACGUGCACAAAUUUAAAAUCCGAAUAAGCAAGGCAGACAGACUUUGUAUGUCAAGGGUUAAAAAGGCGCAAGCUUUCCAAGGUCUACCCAUCAUUCCUGGACAGAAUAUUUAUCUGAGCUUCUGUAUGUGGCUCACAAAUCCCUCUGUUUUCCUGGUCACUCAUUCUGACAUCCACUGCUCAGGAAGAGG